rnacentral:misc_RNA from 1 species
AAGAGUAAGGGUCUUCUAGGCCCGACCUCCCAAACCCUUUGUUUAUCAUACCUUGUGUUGCUUCGGUAGGCCUGGAUUUAAUCGUCCUGCCGGAGGACCGUUAAAACGUCCUCUGGAGAGUGCCUACCGACAGCCCCCAAACCACAAAAAUUCUUAACCAAACAUGUCUUUGUCUAAGUAAAACAAACAAAUAAAAGCA